UUUGAGAGUUAUUACACCCAGUUGUUCCCAAUCCCACCUGUUCUUAGACGCUAAGCAAGGAGAGCUCUGAUUAAUACUUGGGUGGAAGACCACCUAUGAAUAUCAGGUAGUGUCAUCU
rnacentral:rRNA from 11 species